AAAAGAUGACGGUUAAGACCUCGUCUGUUCUUUCUUACCCAGUGUUUGUGAGAAUUAGGCGGGGCCUUGCCGUGAUUGAUGAAUGCUACCUGGUUGAUCCUGCCAGUAGUCAUAUGCUUGUCUUAAAGAUUAAGCCAUGCAUGUGUAAGUAUGAACGAAUUCAGA
rnacentral:rRNA from 1 species